AUCUCUGUCGAAUAAAUAAAUAAAAUCUUUAAAAAAAAAAAAAAAAACAAGGUUUGCGCGGGUCUGCUGUGGGAGGGGACCUGCAGCCGCCCAAAACUCCUGCCCUGGCUGGCGGGUUGCAGGAAGUGGAUCUGAAGAAGCACGUGGGGCAGGGCACGCUGUUAACAAGUUAGGGGAAGAGUGUUCUCCUUGUGUGCUGGUUCCUGCAGGUGUCUGUGUAUCUGGGUUGGGGGCUGGGGGAAGGAAACAGUGCAGGCCAGCUCCUUUGUUCCUGGAGAAGUCUCUUAAAGAUCUCUGCCCCUCCAGCACACAACUAUCCUUCCCGUAUAUGCCAGGCAUUUUCCAACCUGCUGCUUUUAUGCUGUAUCUCCUUGCGGCUGUUUGUUGUGCUGUCCCAUUAAGGGUGGGGACUUGGCUUCCUCUUGCCCUCCCAGCUUUCCCAAAGCUGAGCCCACCGAUUUUUAAAGUUCUAGGUGUGAAGUCCCACUGAUUGUAAGAACUCAUGAGAUUCAUGAGUGGUGGUUUUCAAGCCAAAUGUUAUGGGGGUCUGUCUUCCCUGUGCAGGUUCCUCCUGCCUGGGGCACCUGGUGCGAGGGUCUGGUGCUCUCCCCUCCACACCUGCCCAUGCUGCCCUCCUGCACACAGUCCUGCAGGUCCAUGUAGUUCCCAGUCGUGUCUCUGCCCUUCCUACCUUCUUGGAUGUGUCUUCUCUACAUUUAGCUGCGCAGUCUGUUCUGGUAGUCUUUGGGUCAUUCUCUGGGUUAUUUACACUGAUGUGGGUGUUAUCUACUGUAUUUGUGGGACGAGGUGAGCUCAGAGUCCUUCUCCUCUACCAUCUUCUUACUGUUACUGGCAUAGCAUGAACUUUGAUCCAUUUUCUCACUCAAGGCAUUCCCAACCUUCUCUCACACAGUGACUCUCUUUUCCAGGGCUUUCUCCCUCAGUUGUACCCUCUUUCCUUUAUGCAUCAUCUUAGAUCUUCUGGGAAUGGUCUCUUAUGCCACAUCUUCCCUUCUCAGGCAAACUCCUUGAACAGGUAGUACUGGCAGUGUUUUCCCACUUCCCCUCUGCCGAUCACGCUGCCAUAUUUGGGGUUCUGCCCCACCCCUCUGAUGAUCCAACACCAUGCCCGAUGGGUACUGAACACUGUGGGGAACAUCUGUGGGUUUGCUUGACAUGUUCUUCACGACCUCACCCCUCUGGUGAUGGUCCAUGGUCUAGUGAUGGCCACUUGUCUCAAGAUGGGCUAAUCAGAGUUCUUCUCUCAAAUUUUUAAGACUGGAUUUUUUUUUUUAAAAGACAGUUGUUUCCUCUCUUUAUUUCUUAAAAUUAUUACAUGUCUUUCCUUUAUUUCCGUGAAGUGGUUCUCAAUCCUGGGUGCACAUUCAAGUUACAAAAGCAAUGAUGCCCAGGCUUCACCCAUGGAAGACUCUGAUUCCAAAGGUCCGGGCAAGGGUUUAGUUUUUCAAGUUUCUCAGGUGACCUGAAUGUGCACCUAGACUGGAGAGCCAUGAACAGAGCCCCUUUGUGACUGUGAAACGUGGACUGGGGUACACACUUACCCUGUCGCCCCUGUGCAGGACCGCUGCAGGGCUGCGUGAGGUGGGGCUCUGCUGCCUCUGCCCCUCAGCACCUCUGCAGACACUGCCUUUGACCGGCUAGGGUCUAGGCUCCCCUGUCGUGUACAGUCGUUCCUGGGGAGUGGCCCCUCGGCCGAAGCUACUUUCCAAAGCCUUCCUUAUGUGAUGAUGGGGCCACAUGGCUGCUUCUGCAGGUGGUCAAGAACCGGGUAAGCCUUCCUAAUCUUCUGGUGUCCCUUCUGCUGGCUUGCUGGACAUGAAUCCUACUAUCUUGGAAGCCACUUGUUGAAGAUGGCACAGACGCAGAAGAGAAAAAAAUCUGUGUCCUUGAACUGUUGCUUCAAAGAGAGCUGCAUGAUGAAGAAUACCCACAUGAUGGGAGCAAGAACUAGCGUCUCAAUGUGGAAAGGCACGGAAAUGUUGUGACUCAGUACAGCAACUAACACUAAUAACCCAGGGGUCUUCCCCUUCUGCCUGAUAACAGUAUCCUGGUAUUCUUUGGGGAACAACUUUUUUCGUUCUAUCAUGGCUUGGUAAGGCUGUCUACUCCUGUGCUCCGCCCCCAUCCCUCCCCAGUUUGGCCCACUAGGUGGGUGUAUGAACCAGGCUGGUCAAGUUCUCCAUUUCCGGGCACAUAAUCAGUUUAGGGAUAAUUUCAUGACUCAAACUGGGUCAAUGAGAAUCUUUCUAAGCCUCAGUAUCUGGGCUGUGGGAAAAGUAGUUUUCUUUCUUUGGAUUUCUGUUUGGGAGAACCUGCAAGAUGGUGGCAUCUUGUCCUCUAUGGUGGAACAGAAUUAGAACAGUGAGCGAGGCAGAAAGAGCUGAAACAUGGAGACAGAGACAGAGAUCCACUAUCACUGUCAGGUCUUUGAACUUGGUGGUCUGAAGACAUUGCCUGGGUUCGCUGCUUCCGUGAGAAGAAAUUUCAUUGAAAUUGUUGUAUGUAACUUCAUUUCAUUACUUCUUCUGCCUAGGCAAGUCGAGCAGGACCAUUGUUGGGAGCCAACGCACUGCCUGCUGUCAGUUCUGGCUCUGCUCUGCUCUCCAGGCUCGUGGGACACAGUCCCCGCUCACUUGCUCACUGCUCCAUGAGAGCCACCAAGGAAGAGCUCAGGGUUCUGCCCACUCCCCAGUCCACUCAUUUCUGAGUCCUGAUGGCUUGAAUGCAGAACAUCAGUUGCCCUCAGCCUUCUGUCUCGUUGUCCAGUUUAUCAGCAAGUCUUGUCUUUUUUCUUCUCAUUUCUCUACUUUCCCACCUGCGUUUUCUCCAAGAGCCUCCCGCUUCUCCGCUUCCGUACUUGCAUCCCUGUAACUUAUUCUUGUGUAGCGACUGGAAUAAUCCCAGAAGUGCACAUUCUUCUGCUGAAAACUGCAAUGUCAUUCCUUUGCUCUUAGGAUAAAGUCCAAAAUUCUUCCCGAGACCUUCAAGGCUUUGCAUGGUGUGGCUCUUCCCUAGUUUUCAACCUCACCUCUUAUCCCUCUCCUGCCACUCCCUGCACUUGGGUCCUGUUCUCACCAUUUCCCAGACCCCUCUCAGUUCUUCUCAGUCUUUGGGCCUUUGCACCUGCUGUUCCCACCACAGGGAAGUGAUUCCUCUCUUUUCCAACAUGGCUAUACCGUCCUAUUUAAUUGAUUUCCUUCUCAGUCUUUGAUUGUCUAUUUAUUCUCUUACCUGUUUGUUACUUGCAUCUCUGCUUUAGACCUAAGCUUGAAGGAGGCAGGGUCUUGUGUGCUAAUCAUAGCUGAAUCUCUGGACCCUGUGUCCAGCAUGUAGUUGGUGCUCUUCUCUUCAUGUGACAGGCCCUCAGGGGGUCCUCAUAAGGCAGUUUGAAACCCCUCAGACUAGAAAUUCUCUAUGGUCCCUGUUGGUUUGUCUUCCUCCUGAACUAAGUGCAAAUGAAAUAUAAUAUCUUGAUUAAUAUUCACUUCGGUUGGAGUGAUAUUUUAUCUUAUUUAUAUGUGCUUUUAUUUAUUUUAAUUGAAGUAUAGUUGACAUAUAACAUUAUAUUAGUUUCAGCUGUACAACAUCAUGAUUUGACAAUUACAUGCGUUACGAAGUGCUCACCACGAUAGUGUAGUUACCAUCUGUCCAUAUAAGAUUUCUUGCAUAUUUCCUGAUUACAGAGGUAGGAAAUAGACAAAAUCCAUACUUAAAUUUUGUUUUAAUCGAAUACUUGUAAGGGGUUCCUUUUAACCCCUCAAAGGUUAAAGUUGAACCCAAACACAUGAAUUCGUGGCACUUUCAGUGCUGGAAGGACAGUGGGCGAUUGUAUCUGUUAUUCUGUUUACUUUGACUAUAUUCGGGUGUCAUUAUGGUUUUGGUGAAAUAGAGAUAGAAUUUAAAAAAAUAGACUUUAUAUUUUAUUUUAUUUUUUAAGUAGCCUCCAUGCUCAGCAUGAAGCCCAACCCGGGGCUUGACCUCACGACCCUGAGAUCAAGACCUGAGCUGAGAUCAAGAGUCAGAUGCUUGACUGACUGAGCCACCCAGGCGCCCCUAGGCUUUAUGUUUUAGAGCAGUCUUAGAUUAACAGCAACACUGAGCAGAAAGUACAGAGAUUUCCCAUUUAUCCCCUGGACCUCCUAUAGCCUCUCCCACUAUCAACAUUCCUCACCAGAGAAGUACAUGCAGUGUAUUCAAUGAACUUAUGUUGACAAAUCAUAAUCACCCAAAGUCCCCAGUUGUUUAAGUUUGCCUUCAGUGUUGUGUAUUCUAUCGAUUUUGGGAAAUAUACGAUGACAAGCACCCACCGUUAUAGUAUCAUAACGAUAGAUUCAUUGCCCUGAAAGUCCUCCAUGCUCCACCCGUCAUUCACAUCCCCACAAGCCUCUGGCAACCACUGAUUUUUAAUUUUUUUUACUGUCUCCAUAGUUUUGCCUUUUCUAGAAUAUCACACUUGGCAUCAUACAGAAUGUAGCCUUUUCCCAUUGGCUUCUUUCAUUUAGUAAUAUGCAUUUAAGGUCUCUCCAUGUCUUUUCAUAUCUUGAUAGAUCACUUCUCUCUAAGUGCUGAAUAAUGUUCCAUUGUGUGGCUGAACCACAGUUUAUCUUGGUUGCUUGUAAGUUUUGGCAGUCACGAAUAAAGCCACUAUAUACAUCUUUGCAUAGGCUUUUGUGUGAAUGUCGGUUUUCAACUCAUUUGGGUAAGUACCAAGGAGAGCGAUUGCUAGAUCCUAGAGUGAGACUUUGUUUAAUUUUGUAGAAAUGGAAUUUCACAAAAUUAACCAAUAACUUUUAGAUGGUUAAAUGUUCACCCCACUGUGCGGAGAAUCUUGCCAGUAGCCAGGGCCUCUGCAAAUGAUUGUCAGGUUGUGUCCCACAAGGAUCGGGCCAGGAGGGUGAGUGUGGGCUGGGAUCCAGCCUUCUGUGAAGCUUCACCUGCUCCACUGCCACAAAACUGCCCUGCGAGCGAGCUUAGAUCCUGCUGGCGGUCUUCUCUCUGCUUGGGACCUGGCCUGGCACCUUAUCCUUGGGCAUAAUCAUUUCUUCUCUUUCCCAGAGAAUUCAUCUUCUCCAAGGCUGCUGGGGCUGUGGUGGGGAAUGGAAAAAUUACCCUGUAAAUGUAUCCCUUCCUCUUGAACUCCUCAUUCUAGAGCAUGCCCUGGGCUCAUCUGAAACCUAAAGAGCCAUCUGCCAUCAGCUCCACGUGUCAGAUUGAAGUCUUGGGCAGACCUAAAGAAUCUUUUGAAAGUUGCUACUGUGAUGUCUCAUCGCCACAGAGUUUAUCUGUAUUCCCUGCAAUCAAGGACGGUCUUCUACACGGCCGCUAGAGGGCUCUCGAAGUCAGGAAAUGAACCACCGUGCGUACUAUCCUGUGAUUCUCAGGACGAUAAUUAUGACAAAAGUGAUGGAGUCCACCUGUUCUCCAGAUUGGGCUAGAUCUGCUAAAAAUCAUUCCUGGACUCGGCAGACCGUUGGAUCGCUGCUCACGUGCACUGCAUUACUUUAAUCUUCUGUAGACCUUCUUUGCUGAACAGCGGCGCCUGGCGCUCCGUGGCCUCCUCGUCUUGGGGCAGCACCACGCCAGCACCAUGCCUGUGUCGCCCGGUGCCAUCCUCUCCCUGUGUGCCUGCCUACACGUGGGAUUCCGAGCCUGCUCCACUGCAAGAGGACCGCGUGUUAACUCGAUUAGGAUCCUCAAAGACGCUCUUUCUGGUCAAGGUCACAUUCACGGGCAUCCGGGGUGGGGCUUCGAUGUAACUUUUUGGGGCACGCAAUACAACCCACAAGAGGGGGCUCCAAGAGGACCCUUGGAGAACUCAGUAUGUGUCCCCUGGAGAGUUGGGGCACAGGCGUACGUGUCUAAUUAUAAGAGAUGGGAAGAGGUGAGAGGACGCGGCUGUUGCUCCUGCCAGCGGGGGAGCGGUGACGAGGGCGCUGGCUGAGUCAGUGGUUCUAAGUCAACCGUGGGGCCAACGUGUGGGUUUGUAGGAACGAGAAGUGGGAUGUGCUAAAAGGAAGCUGGCCUGGGGUCUUCUGAAAGGAAUCCCUCCCCAGGUGGGUCCUGGAGCUGUGACCUCCAAAUUGAGGAGUGUCCACCACAAAGGGCUGGAAAGUGCAGCCAAGACUUCUCUGCCCAGACCCAGGCCCCGCGAGGGGAGUAUUUCUACAUGUACCCGUCUAUAGCUCCAUUACUAACCGUGACUCCUGACUGAUGUGUUCAAUUCUGAUAUAUCACCAUGUGGGUCAUUCUGUCCUUCCUGCUUACCUAUUAAUUCCCUCUCCGUCAGUGCCCGCUGGACCUUCCGCCAGCCGUUAUUAAUUGUUUAAUUCCAGUAUACAGGAUAGCAGCAUCGCGGCUGUUGGGCUGUGCACCCACGGGAAGCAAUUUCGUCAACUAGAGAAUGGCGCUUAUGUGCAGUUCCUUUCUACCUUUAAUCUUCUAGGCUCUACCCAUUUCCAAAGUUACUUGGUUCAGUACCUUUCCCCAAGAACCCUUGGGUGAGAUUGUGUCAUACCUUUGUCAUACAGCUAGAUCCUUUUCAUCGUCUACCUUCCUUCCUGGGAUUCUCUGACUUCCUAAAAGGGAUUUUUUAAAACGUACAUGCAUUGAGCCUCAAUGUUUGUGCUGUAACGUGUUUUGGACUUUGACAGAUGCACAGUGUCAUGUAGGGACCAUGAUAGCAUCAUGCAGAAUAGUCUCCCCACCCUAAAAUCCCCUGUACUCCACCUUUUCAACCCCACAUCUUCACCCGAACCCUUGGUAACCAUUAAUCUUCUGUCUCUACCUAUUAGCCUUUUCCAGAAUGUCAUAAAAUUGGACUCGUACAGUGUGUAGCCUUUCCAGCCUGGUUUCUUUCACUUCGCCAAAUGCAUUUAAAUUUCCUUUAUGUCAUUUUGUGCCUUGAUAGCUCCUUUCUUUUCACUGCUGAAUAAUAUUCUAUCACAUGGAUGUGCCAAAGUUUGUUUACCCAUUCACUUUUCGAAGCACAUCUUGGUUGCAUAAAACUUCCAUAAACAUUCAUUUGCAGGCUUUUGUCUGGAUACAUGUUUUCAAAUCAAUUAGGUAAAUAGCUGGGAAUGUGAUUACUGGGUCCUGUGGUAAGGCUAUGUUUAGCUUUGUCAGAAACUGUCAUAUUGUCUUUCAAAGUCACUGCUCCAUUUUGCCUGCCCCCCAAAAAUGAAUGAGAAUUCCUUGUUGUCCUCCAUCCUCACCAGCACUCAGUGUUGUCCAUGUAUUGGAUUUUGACCAUUUUUUCUUUUUGCUUUCUAGAGUGAGAGUGAGAGAGUGUGGGGGAGGGGCAGAGAGAGAGGGAGAGAAGGAAUCCUGAGCAGGCUCCAUGCCCAUCGCGGAGCCUGACACAG